ACGCUCGACACCUACGGGAGACAGCAGUGGGGAAUAUUGCACAAUGGGGGAAACCCGUGAUGCAGCGACGCCGCGUGAGCGAAGAAGUAUUUCGGUAUGUAAAGCUCUAUCAGCAGGGAAGAAACUGACGGUACCUGACUAAGAAGCACCGGCUAAAUACGUGCCUGCAGCCGCGGUAAUCUGAGCGGGCUGGCAAGGC
rnacentral:rRNA from 1 species